rnacentral:rRNA from 1 species
UACGGGGGGGCAAGCGGUUGUUCGGAAUUACUGGGCGUAAAGGGCUCGUAGGCGGCCAACUAAGUCAGACGUGAAAUCCCUCGGCUUAACCGGGGAACUGCGUCUGAUACUGGAUGGCUUGAGAUUGGGAGAGGGAUGCGGAAUUCCAGGUGUAGCGGUGAAAUGCGUAGAUAUCUGGAGGAACACCGGUGGCGAAGGCGGCAUCCUGGACCAACACUGACGCUGAGGAGCGAAAGCGUGGGAGCAAACAGG